AGAGUUUGAUCAUGGCUCAGAUUGAACGCUGGCGGUAGGCUUAACACAUGCAAGUCGUGCGAGAAAGUAUCUUCGGAUAUGAGUAGAGCGGCGGACGGGUGAGUAACGCGUAGGAAUCUACCUAGUAGAAGGGGAUAGCCCGGGGAAACCCGGAUUAAUACCGUAUACCUCCUUCGGGAGAAAGAAGGCCUCUCUUUGAAGCUUUCGCUAUUAGAUGAGCCUGCGUAAGAUUAGCUUGUUGGUGAGGUAAAGGCUCACCAAGGCGACGAUCUUUAGCUGGUCUGAGAGGACGAUCAGCCACAUUGGGACUGAGACACGGCCCAGACUCCUACGGGAGGCAGCAGUGGGGAAUAUUGGACAAUGGGCGCAAGCCUGAUCCAGCCAUACCGCGUGUGUGAAGAAGGCCUUCGGGUUGUAAAGCACUUUAAGCAGGGAGAAAAAGUUAUAAGUUAAUACCUUAUAACCGUGAUGUUACCUGCAGAAUAAGCACCGGCUAAUUCCGUGCCAGCAGCCGCGGUAAUACGGAAGGUGCAAGCGUUAAUCGGAAUUACUGGGCGUAAAGCGCGCGUAGGUGGUUUGUUAAGUUGGAUGUGAAAGCCCUGGGCUCAACCUAGGAACUGCAUCCAAAACUAACUCACUAGAGUACGAUAGAGGGAGGUAGAAUUCAUAGUGUAGCGGUGGAAUGCGUAGAUAUUAUGAAGAA
rnacentral:rRNA from 1 species